GCACAUCUGACGAGUCCCAAGCAGGACGAAACAGCUGUCCAGUGC
rnacentral:hammerhead_ribozyme from 1 species